rnacentral:rRNA from 1 species
UACGGAGGGGGCGAGCGUUGUUCGGAAUCACUGGGCGUAAAGCGCGUGUAGGCGGUCUGUUAAGUCUGGUGUGAAAGCCCGGAGCUCAACCUCGGAAGUGCAUUGGAAACUGGCAGACUUGAGUCUGAGAGAGGAGGGUGGAAUUCCUGGUGUAGCGGUGAAAUUCGUAGAUAUCAGGAGGAACACCAGUGGCGAAGGCGGCCCCCUGGACGGUGGCUGACGCUGAGACGCGAAAGCGUGGGGAGCAAACAGG